UACAGAGGUCUCAAGCGUUGUUCGGAUUCAUUGGGCGUAAAGGGUGCGUAGGCGGCGCGGUAAGUCGGGUGUGAAAUCUCGGGGCUUAACUCCGAAACUGCAUUCGAUACUGCCGUGCUUGAGGACUGGAGAGGAGAGUGGAAUUCCUGGUGUAGCGGUGAAAUGCGCAGAUAUCAGGAAGAACACCCGUGGCGAAGGCGGCUCUCUGGGACGGUACUGACGCUGAGACGCGAAAGCGUGGGGAGCGAACAGG
rnacentral:rRNA from 1 species